CAGUAGCCGCGGUAAUACGUAGGGUGCAAGCGUUAAUCGGAAUUACUGGGCGUAAAGCGUGCGCAGGCGGUUAUAUAAGACAGAUGUGAAAUCCCCGGGCUCAACCUGGGAACUGCAUCCAUAACUGCCUGACUAGAGUACGGUAGAGGGUGGUGGAAUUUCCUGUGUAGCGGUGAAAUGCGUAGAUAUAGGAAGGAACACCAGUGGCGAAGGCGACCACCUGGACUGAUACUGACACUGAGGUGCGAAAGCGUGGGGAGCAAACAGGAUUAGAUACCCCGGUAGUCCCUGUCUCUUAUAU
rnacentral:rRNA from 1 species